ensembl:lncRNA
CAUCUGUAAAACUGGAAUAAUACGAAUUAUCUGUGAAGAUGGCUGUGACAGUUAAGAAGAGGUGACCCGCACACCCCCAGCUGACAGCUGGCACAUAUUUUAGUGGAUGAUAAGCGGUGACCAUUGUGUUAAUGUAAAUAAGGCAAGCCGGAGGCAGCUCUCACGGCAGGGUGACAACAGCUGCGAACCUCUGUGCUGGACGCCUGGGAACCUCCAUAGGCCAAGGGUGUAGACCUAAAAAGACCAAAAAAAAUGUUUUUUAAACGUAAUUGAAGGACUUAACAAAAAUACUUGAAGUUAAGAUAAAAAGGAAUCAGGGCAAGAAGAGGAAGAGUUGAAAAAACAGGCAGCGGUAAGGGAAGGUGUCCCGGAAAACUUGGCCUGAGAGGCGCUGACUUGUCUUUGAGUCUCCUGGCAGCCGGAGUGGUGAGAGAGACAUGCCCGGCUCCGGGAUUCCUGGCAGCAAGACUGUUGAGCCUUAUCACAUGGCCCCAGCAGUUAGGAGGGGGAUCCCGGGCCCUGGUGAGUCUGCCUGUGAAGGGCACAGCUGGCCAGCUGUAACUAGAUCCUGAAAACCAGCCUGGCCAGGGAGCCAUGGGACCGAGGGGUCAGGGUGACCCCAGCAGGGCCAGAGGGGGCCCUUUGCUCUAAGCAGGGCGUAUACUUGCCUCCCUGAGUGUCUCUCACCUUCCUAAGGCCUUCGUUCACUGCUGCCAGGGGAUUCAGGCUGAGCAGCAGCUCCCACCCUGCCCGCCCACCUCACAGCCAUUUCAGGCCAACAAGGGCUGGGACUGGGGGUCCCACAGAGACAGGCCCCAAGUGGGGAAAACAGUCUGCCUUGCAAGGUCUCGAAAGCCCGCCGGGGGGCCCCUCUGGAGGCUUCUGCAGUUGGCCGUGUUGCCUUGUGCCUGCUCCUUGCUGCAGCAAGAGCUCUUAUCUGCCUGCCUCUGUUGAGCCGCAGCCCAUUGGUUGCCCCUCCACUCACCCUGCUGGCCUGGCCCGCCCAGUCUCACUUUGCCAGAGCGGGGCUGGAAUCCACUCUCGGGCAAGGAGACUGGCAGACCCCUUCCGAGUGUUGCCAAGGAGCAGCCCUCCCUCCAGCCUUCCCCAAAGCCAAUGGCGAUAAGUCACACCUGCCCCAGGGCAGCUGACAUUUAGCAGAGGUCAGGCCCACCCUCGAUUGUCCUGCCUCCUACAGUCAGCUGUGCCAGCCACCUGCUGGCAGGCUCUGGGGGGUCAGCAGUUAAACUGGAGGAGAUGGGAGGUCUGGGACCUGACAGCACAAGUCCUACCUAGCCUGGAGGACUGGCACUGCGACUGCCCCUCACUAGCCUGCUCAGGACGCCUACCGAGGUGAGGCCGGGACGGGCGGGCCUCCUCUACAGAAUCAAAGGGUUGGAGGAGAUGGUCUUUCAGGUUCGUUGUACGGAGUUCCCCGGUGGUCACUGCUGUGGCUCAGGUCUCUGCCGUGCGCAGUUUCGAUCCCCGGCUUGGGAACUUCUGUCUGCCGUGGGUGCAGCUGUACAAACCUGUUGGGUCUAGCUCAAACAUUUCAUGAUGUUGUAGCUUAUGACCAUGUGGCUUGGAGAAAAGUUAUGUUGGAGUCUUCCAGCCUCAAGCUCUAAAAGUUCACCCCAGCAUCCCUACCCGUUUCACAGAUCCCGGUCUCAGCCCCUCCUGUGACUUGGUAGGUCGCCCCAACCAAGUCACUGGUCCCACUCCGCCAAAUGGGGAUAGCCUCGUGGCCGGCCCGCCUACCUUCCUGGACUGUGUGGUUAGAGCUGAAAGUACUCUCUUGCUGCACAGGUUCACUCAUGAGAUAAAGGCACAUGCGAAGAAAAUGGUGGUAUUCAGUUCAGAGUAAUGUCCCCGUUUCAGUUUCCUAGCCAGGGCCUGUAUGGUGAUGUAGGGUGUGAAUAUUGGGGGAACCUGGUCGAGGGGUGUUAAGGAACCCUCUGUACUAUGUCUGCAACUUCUGAUAAGCUACAAGUAUUCUAAAAUAGGAAGUUUAUUUAAAUUGCAAAAACCGGGAGUUCCUGCCAUGGAGCAGUGGGUUGAGAAUCUGACUGGUAGGGGCUGGGGUCACCACGGAAGUGCAGGUUCCAUCCCCAGCCCGGCUCAGUGGGUUCGAGGAUCUGGGGUUGCUGCAGCUGUGGCGUAGGUGGCAGCUGGGACUCACAUUCAGUCCCUGGCCUGGGGACUUCCAUAUGCUGCCAGCACGGCCACACAAAAUUUUUUUUUAAUUGUAAAAAAUAAUAUGCAAGGCUUCCGUUCCACAGCCACAACCUAACCGAUCAGUCCGACUGUGUAAACGAACAGAGGAUGUUUAUAUCACGACCCCUCAUGAACACGGAAUGAUUCAUUCCAAAUGACCAUGGAAUGUUAUGUGAGGGUUUUUUUGUUUUUUGGGGUUUUUUAGGACUGUACUGCAUUUGGAGCAUAUGGACGUUCCCAGGCUACGGGUCAAACUGGAGCUGCAGCUGCCAGCCUAUGCCACAGCCGCAGCAAUGCCAGAUCUGAGCCAAGUUGGUGACCUAAACCACAGCUUGCAGCAACGCCAGAUCCUUAACCACUGAGCGAGGCCAGGGCUCAAACCCACAUCCUCAUGGAUACUAGUUGGGUUUUUUACCUGCUGAGCCACAACGGGAACUCUGUUAUGUGAGAUUUUAAAGGAAAUUGUAGGUUUGAUUCUACUGAUAUGAAAAUCUCUUUAAUCUAUUGGAGGGUUUUUUUGUUUGCUUUUGUUCAUUUGGGGGUUUUUUGGCCACACCUGUGACAUUCGGAAGUUCCCAGGCCAGGGAUGGAAACUGUGCCACAGCAGUGACAAUGCCAGACCCUUAACCUGUUAGGCCACCAGGGAACUCUGGCUUUAAUCUAUUGUGUGUUUGUGUUUUAAUCUACUGUUGACAGGGGAAAAAAACCACUUGACUGGGCGUGGUGUCCAAUAUGAUAUUUAUGAAGAACUGAGAAGAGAAAAGUUGCAUUUAAAACCAGUGCUACACCUCAAGCAGAUGAACUGUUCAUGCCUGGAUGUCCAUCUACUCCCUGGCAUGGAGUAAUGAAGGGGAACGUUUACUUAAUUUUGUUCUUUAGGUUUGUUAGAAUUAAAAGUGUUCGCUUGAGGAGUUCCCUUGUGGCACACUGGGUUAAGUAUAAGGUGUUGUCACUACUGUAACUCGGGUUUGAUCCCUGGCCCAGGAACUUCCACGUGUCAUGAGUGCGGCCAAAAAAAAAAAAAAAAAAAA